GGGGGGGGUUAUUUGUGGGGUAAAAUGGUAUUCUAUGCUUUCUUAAUAUCAAGAAUAAAUUAUUUUCAGAAGUAAUAUAUAUUUCCUUUUUUAAAGAGUGUGUGUGUGUGUGUGUGUGUGUGUGUGAGAGAGAGAGAGAGAGAGAGAAAUUUUUAAUGCUUAUUUUUUAGUUUUCGGCGGACACAACAUCUUUGUUUGUAUGUGGUGCUGAGGAUCGAACCCGGGCCGCACGCAUGCCAGGCGAGCGCGCUACCGCUUGAGCCACAUCCCCA
rnacentral:sRNA from 1 species